GCCAAGGGUGAGGGUGACAGUAAGUGUUAUGACUCGGCCAAGUGGGUUGUUAAGGUACUUGGCAUACCAACCAAUGGCGGUUUUUUGCUUGGGGACAAAUACUUCAUCACGAUCAAGGGAUCCUGUAUUGGAGUGAUGGCGGCGAUGGCUAUACUUCCAAGAGAAGUAGGGGACAAGGAGGCAAGAGUGGAGGAUAAGGCCAACAGUGUCGUCAAGCCAUUGAUAGUCACUGAAGGCAUGGUGGCCACAUUCAUGAGCUACAACCCAAACUCCAGUUAAAAUGCAGCCUUGAAGAGCCCAGUAAACUGGCCAGGCCAGAUAAGAGAGAGGGUGAGGAAGUUGGUGAAUGUAAGUGUCGGCAAUGUAGUAAAAGACAAAGGCAAUGGUGAGGUCAUGAACAACGUAGGAGAAUGAACGGAGAACAGACCGCUCAAAACAGUGAGGUGGGAUAGCUUUCUUUACUUGGCUGAGUGUGAAUGGUGGCUUUGAGCAUGGAACUCGCUUCAAGGGAUCAGAAUCCACCUUCAUGGGCGUUGAAGGUACAGCCAUUCGUCCACCUGCACCCAUUGUUCGUCAACCUG
rnacentral:lncRNA from 1 species